GUCUGAAUACUUUCCGAAGGCUCUUUUACAUACAGAAGUAUGUGGACACCUUCAAAUUAGUGGAUUUGGCUAUUUCAGCCACACCCGUUCCUGACAGCUGUAUAAAAUCGAGCACACAGCCAUGAAAUUUCCAUAGACAAAUGUAUGAAAUGAAUGGCUAGUGAAGAGCUCAAUGACUUUCAACAUGCCAGUACGUAAAAUUUCUACCUAGAGCUGCCCCGGUCAACUGUAAGUGCUGUUCUUGUGAAGUGGAAACAUCUAGGAGCAACAACGGCUCAGCCGUGAAGUGGUAGACCACACAAGCUCGCAGAAAGGUACCGUUGAAGCACAUAGUGUGUCAAAAUUGUCGGUACUCGGCUGCGACAUUCGCGACAGGGUUCAAAACUGCUUCUGGAAUCAACGUCAGCACAAUAACUGUUGUUUGGGAGCUUCAUGAAAUGGGUCUCCAUGGCUGAGCGGCCGCACACAAACCUAAGAUCACCAUGCGCUAUGCUAAGCGUCAACUGGAGUGGUGUGAAGCUCACCGCCAUUGGACUCUGGAGCAGUGGAAACACAUUGCUCUGGAGUGAUGAAUCACGCUUCACCACCUGGCAGUCUGACUGACAAAUAUGGGUUUGGCUGAUGCCAGGAGAAUGCUACCGAUCCCAAAUGCAUAGUGCCAACUGUUUAUUUUGGUGGAAAAAUAGUCGUCUAGGGUUGUUUUUCAUGGUUCGGGCUAGGCCCCUUAGUUCCAGUGAAGAGAAAUCUUAACGCUACAGCAUACAAUGACAUUCUGGACAAUUCUGUGCAUUCAACUUUGUGGCAACAGUUUGGGGAAGGUCCUUUCCUUUUUCAGCAUGGCAAUGCCCCCGUGCAGAAAGCGAGGUCCAUACUGAAAUUGCUUGUCGAAAUCGUGUGGAAGAACUUGACUGGCCUGCACAGAGCCCUGACCUCAACCCCAUCGAACACCUUUUGGAUGAAUUGACUAUGAGCCAGGCUUAAUCGGCCAACAUCAGUGCCCGACCUCACUAAUGCUCUUGUGGCUGAAUGGAAGCAAGUCCCCACAGCAAUGUUCCAACAUCCUAGUGGAAAGCCUUCCUAGAAGAGUGGGGGCUGUUAUAGCAGCAAGGGGGGGACCAACUCUAUAUUAAUGCCCAUGAUUUUGGAAUGAGAUGUUUGACGAACCAGUUGUCCACAUACUUUUGGUCAUGUAGUGUAUGCUUGGGUGGGUUACUUUGGGAAGGAAUGGAGAGAGGUAGUUUGAGACAUUGCAGUUUAUAUUGUGGAAUAAAAACAUUUUCUCCUAAUAUCAAAGGGACUGUUUUAUCUUUUAAUUUGGUCCACUAGAUGUCGUAAUGUCAACACUUGUGUUGUACCACUAUCCUAUAAGCAGGUUUCUUGCGUGAUGAAUGCAUAAGGAUUAUUGGUGUUAGUCAAAAGAACCUUGAAUUAAAUGGCCAUAAUAGGCUACAAAAGUAUAAAUCUCUUGAUGACAUCAUGCACAAACUUAUAAUAGCCCCAUACAAAAUAUAGAUGAUUUAAUAGCUAUCAAUUUGCAUUUUUCCUUGUGUUGUCAUAUGGCUCCAGUCCAGCUCCAGUGCGCUGAUCUCAAAUUGGGCAUUGAGCUAAACAGUUAUUCGAGAGGCGGCCCAGGCAGUCCUAUUGAUAGUUUGGACAAGGAGAUGGUACUGACCUAUUUCAAUUGCACUAAAGGACAAUUUCAAAGAGAGACUGGAGAGGUCAAUGAACCUGAGAUUAGUGUUCCAAUACAACUAUUAUUAUCAAAGGACUUUUGGAGACCGGACGUACCAAUUACGCACCGGUUUGCCUAACAGGACAUUUUCGUGGGAAAUAAUGUGGAAUGUGCAGAAUCAAUGCCCCGUGGAGAGCGAGGAGGAUUCCGAUAUUGACAAACUGUUAGCCGCUCUGACAUCCGCCGAAGUGGAAGAGCUGCAGUGCGAACUGACCGUUAUUGACCCGGAUCCAACUCUGCCAGUCGGGCUCCGGCAGAGGAACCAGACAGACAAGCAGCCGUCAAUAAAAUACAAGUGAGCGCGAAACCAAGAAACUCAUUCAAAUGGAGCUGUCCUUUGAGGAGCCAACAACUGACAGAGUGAAAUGGGAACGCCUGAAGAAGAUGGGGAAGAGCUGUGCUAGUUUCUUCUACUUCAAGUCAGAUGACCUGGAUGACCAGGAUGUCAUAGACCUAAACUUCUCUGCUGUGGAGACCACUAAGGAGUACAUAUCCAAGGACAAAGAGGAAAAACCAGAGAGCAAGAACUUGAAGGGUUGAUGUUCCAAAGCUGCUUCAGUAAUGGGCAGGUGAUCACAGGAAGAAGAAGUUGGACUUGAUACAGAAACGGAACUGCAUUUGUCUUAUAGUAGUACCUGGGGUGAAGCCUUGCUUCCGUUGUUGCUGCUGAGAUAUGGAGAGAUAUCUAAUGCAGUGGGUACUGUGAGUCAGAAGGUGGUGUUGGUGAAACCACCUUAGGCUACACUGUUAGGCCUGUUGACUUCCGUCUCCCUCAGUUGAAUCUCUCCUUCCUUUUCUCCUUAAUGUUCAUAUUUGGUCAUUGCAUUGAAGACACAGUAUGACGUAAGAAUAAUUUCUAAUUAUUUUUUAAUUACUGGAUGAUGGUCAGUUGGAUGUUCUGCUCUUUCAUGUGAGGCUUUGUCCAGCUAAGAGGUGGGGAGAAUGGGGGAGUUGCACAGCGGAAACAGAAAAGUUCAAAGGGGAAAACAACUGAAAGGAAAGGCUUACACAUUGCAAGUCACCAUAUUUUUUGUAUUUUUAGACAGUUAAUAAGUAGAGUAAGAGGAAUGAACAGACAUUUUUUAAAUGUUUUUUUAAAGAUCAUUUUCCAGUGUCACGAUUAAAGGAUAUUAUAUACAGAACCAAACUAUAAACCCAACAUGCAACAAUUAUUUAUUUUUAUUUUUUAUUUUUAUUACCCCCUUUUCUCCUUAAUUAUGUGAUAUCCAAUUGGUAGUUAGUCUUGUCCCAUCGCUGCAACUCCCCUACGGACUCGGAAGAGGACAAGGUCGAGAGAGUUGUGUGACAAACUGCACAUUUUAGAGUGUCCUUUUAUUGUUCCCAGCACAAGGUGCACCUGUGUAAUUAUCAUGCUGUUUAAUCAGCCUCUUGAUAUGCCACAUCUGUCAAGUGGAUGGAUUAUCUUGGCAAAUGGGAAAGGCUCAUUAACAGUGAUAUAAACUAAUUACUGCACAACGUUUGAGAGAAAUAUGCUUUUUGUGCAUAUGGAAAAAAUUCUGGUAUCUUUUAUUUCAGCUCAUGAAACAUUAGACCAACACUUUACAUGUUGCGUUUAUAUUUUUGUUCAGUAUAGCUAAAUAAAACAUUUAACCGAACACAUAGCUAGUAUGCAACACACAACUUGUAUCUGAAGUGUGCGUAGGUUCUUAAUCUGGUCAAUGUGUAAUAUAAUAGCAGUUAAUCGCUAUUAGUUGUCUUUCGGGAUGGCAGUUGCUUACAACAUGAAAGUAUGAGGGACUUCCCUAUAGAUGGCAGGAGACCCCUUGACCUUUGCAAACAUUUCACUGUGAUAGAUUGUGUCCUGAGAGGGAGGGAAUAUAUUUUGAGAAUGCUUUUGAGAAUGUUGUGUUGUUUAGAAUUGACUCAUGAAGGGUACAUACUGUAUCAUACAGAUGUUUUAUGACAUGAAAAUAUACCAAGACAAGUAAAGAUUUUUAACUACUAGUAGAGGACAGUAAAGCACUGCGGUUGACCGGUCAGGCCACAGGUGUUACCUGUUGUGUUCAAGUGCAAAUUCUAAAAUGUAUUUACAGAACCAAACAAAACACAUUCAUAUGUCUGGUUUCGAGAGUGCAUCUAAUAGCUAAUAACCAGGUCAUUUAAUUCCUCCAGAUGAACAAUUAUGGGAUAUUUCGUCUGUCUUUGAUGUCUCCGUCUGCCUCAUAGGCUUUUGAUUUAACAAAAGUAGCAUUUGUCUGUAGCACUUCCUUCCUGAAACAUUGCAAUCAGUUUAUUUUUUCACUUCCUGUAAUAAAGCAAAAACAGCCCAAAGCCACUGCAAGUGAUGCUGCUGGGUAGAGACUGAUAUAGUGACAGUAGGAUCAUUUGAGAGAAAAAGGGAUCUGUGGUGAAAUAAGAAAAACAUUUAAACAUGAAAUUCUAUCUGAUGAUUCUCCUUUACUUGCCAGGUGAGUUUUAACACAAACCAUUUUUGUUGUUGUUGAUUUGUUGUUGUUGAUUACAAUUGCAGACCAUUUUUGUUGUUGAUUAUUUUCUUUGUGAAAGAGACUCCUGCAUAGUGCAAAUUGUAUAGAAUAUACUUUUGCCGAACAAUUCCACAAAGUUUUUGUUUAUUUCACGUUUCAACUAUUAUUUGUUAUUAUGAUAAAGAAUAACAUUGUCUUCUCUUUUAUCAAGUUUUAAGCUGUUAUGCAAAAAGGAGCAACAUUGGAGAGCAUGGAAAUGAAGGUGGAUCUUUAGACAUUAAGUGUUCAUAUCCAGAUGGAUAUCAAUAUAAGCCCAAAUAUUUGUGUCGCCACCCAUGUUCCUACAGUGACGUUCUCAUCAGAAGUGUGAAAGUGGACACAUUUGUCACAGUAGGAAGAUUUUCUGGGUAUGACAAUAUCCAUGGACAUACUUUCAUUGCCACCAUCAAAAACCUGAAUUUACAGGACUCUGGACUUUACUAUUGUGGACUUGAUCAGUGGGGAAGAGAUGUUUUAACAAAAGUAGAUGUCUCUGUGAGUAAAGGUAUGCAUAUUGUUUUGCUUUUAUCCCAUUUGAUUGUCUUUGAAUGCACAAAAAUCAUACUCGGUCUACCCUCUACUGUUUCUACCCACAGCUCCAUUGGUCACUUCACUGUUUACACCUGAUAAGAAGGACACCACACAAACAAACAGAUAUGUGUCCCCAGAGGUCCCCACAUUUACACAGUUACCUGUUGCAGAUUGGGAUGUCGCACCAACAUCCUCAUCGAUUCUGAUUGACAGCACAGGUUUUGUACGUGUCCAUGUUGUUGUGGGAGCUGUCGGACUGUUGAUGUGUUGCACUGUGGUUGCACUUUGUGUAUUCUUCAGAAAACGAUCAAUGCCGUGCUCACUGAGUAAGACCAAGUUCCCUUUCUUUGAUAUCUUACCUACAUAUAAUGCAGGUACGAUAAUAUUAUUUGUUUAUGAUAUGUUGAAGCCUCUAAUUUGUGUCCCUCAGCAUUUACAGCAUCUAAAGUAUCAGAUCCUGUAGCCAUUGCACAGGUGAAUUGGAUCUUGGUUUAUGCUUUAUCAUAGUUUGAAUAAGAUUUUGCAUGUCCUCAUCAGACAGCCGUCAUUCUGCACCAACUCGGUCAACAAAUAAACUCUACCCAAUUCCCGCUCUCUCUUGUUCUCUUCCUCUCUCUCAGGGUGAAGAGGACACUUGUCAUGUGUAUGAUGAGAUAAUUAUGAAAAGCUCCAACAUUCUUCCCCAGGAAGCCAGUGACUUGUACUGCACCGCACAUUUAGGAGAACCCCCACUGAAAAUAGAUGACAAUGCUCUCUACUCUCUCCUGACACUAAAGCUACAAGGACCUCAGUGAGAGUCACAAGUCUUUAGUUUAUAGAGGGCAUUCUCACAACACUGCAAGCUGUUGAUAGUGUACAUAUGUACAGUAUCUAGAAGCUUUGGUUUGCAAUAAAUAUUGCUAUUGUUUUGUGUAUAUAUAUAUACACUGCUCAAAAAAAUAAAGGGAACACUUGAACAACACAAUGUA